UACGAAGGGAGCUAGCGUUGUUCGGAAUCACUGGGCGGAAAGCGCACGUAGGCGGAUUUGCCAGUCAGGGGUGAAAUCCCGGGGCUCAACCUCGGAACUGCCUUUGAUACAGCAAGUCUUGAGUUCGAGAGAGGUGGGUGGAAUUCCUAGUGUAGAGGUGAAAUUCGUAGAUAUUAGGAAGAACACCGGUGGCGAAGGCGGCCCACUGGCUCGACACUGACGCUGAGGUGCGAAAGCGUGGGGAGCAAACAGG
rnacentral:rRNA from 1 species